AGUCAAGGGAGCUACAUCACAUUUCUAGUUCUCCUCAAGCUGAACCCACUCAGUCAUUAUCAGGUCAGUUUUCAUUGCAUGAACCCAGACUGGAAAAGUUGACUGAUGGUGAUUAUAUUGAGCAUUUUUUGACUACAUUUGAACACAUUGCCUUAGCAUAUCGUUGGGAAAAAACAGACUGGGUUUUUCGAUUAAUCUUGCUGCUAACGGGCAAGGCAAGAGGGGCAUAUGUUCAUAUGGAUAUUGAUGAAUCUCUCAAUUAUGACAAAGUAAAAGCUGCAAUUUUGUCCAAGUAUGAUGUUAACCCUGAGACCUACAGGCAAAGAUUCCGUUCACUUGAAGUCAGGCCUGAUGAGAACCCUAAGGAGUUGUAUGCUCGACUUAAAGAUCUGUACGGAAAAUGGAUUCAGCCAAAAGGUAAAACAAACCAAGAAGUUGGUGAAAUAAUCAUCCUUGAACAAUAUUUGAGAAUGUUGUCCCCUGAGCUACAGGUUUGGAUUCGAGAGCACAAUCAGUCUUCUGCAGCGAAGGCAGCUGAGCUGGCAGAAGUGUUUGUAGCUGCCAGGAGGAAAGGACAACCCUGGACUUGUGAUGCAAAUAAAAUGCCAAAGGAAGGCCCCAAAUCAGCCCAGAUGUACCAUCAAAGGCCACGGUCAGCUGAUAAAACUCUUGAAUGGGAAGCUGCACCUGGGAAGCCUCGGAGGUCGCACACAGAGGAGACUGGAAAAGUUCCAGCAUAUUAUACAAGCAAUUGACAAGGACCAAGUAGAGGAGACAGGCAUUAACAGAAGUAUGUCCUGCAAAAUGGCCCUUGAUUCCUUCAGGUACUACCUUCUUGGAAGAGAAUUCACCCUGAAGACGGAUCACAGUGCACUUCAGUGGAUGGAAAAGAUGAAAGAUAAGAAUGGAAGGAUCACAAGAUGGUACCUUGCGCUGCAACCUUUUCCGGUUUAUCAUCAAGCACAUUCCUGGGAAGAACAAUGUUACAGCCGACUUCCUCUCUCACUGUAC
ensembl:lncRNA